GGGCGCGCUUAUGCAUGCAGUCGAGCGAGGCUCCACCCUUCGGGGUGGAUGUCCUAGCGGCAAACGGCUGAGUAACGCGUGGGUGAUCUACCCCAGAGAGGGGAAUAACCCGCCGAAAGGCGGACUAAUUCCGCAUACGCUCCACCGUGUAAAGGCGGUGGUGGAAAGGUUUCCGGGCAACCGGGGCCGCUCUGGGAGGAGCUCGCGUCCUAUCAGGUUGUUGGUGGGGUAACGGCCUACCAAAUGCCAGAGACGGGUAGCUGGUGUGAGAGCACGACCAGCCAGAGGGGGACUGAGACACGGCCCCCACUCCUACGGGAGGCAGCAGCAGGGAAUCUUGCACAAUGGGCGAAAGCCUGAUGCAGCGACGCCGCGUGAGGGACGAAGGCUCUAGGGUUGUAAACCUCUUUUCUCAGGGAAGAGCAAGGACGGUACCUGAGGAAUAAGCCACGGCUAACUACGUGCCAGCAGCCGCGGUAAUACGUAGGUGGCGAGCGUUGUCCGGAAUUAUUGGGCGUAAAGGGUCCGUAGGCUGUUUUGUAAGUCUCCUGUGAAAACUCCAGGCUCAACUUGGAGCGGUCGGGGGAUACUGCAGGACUGGAGGCUGUCAGAGGAAAGCGGAAUUCCCGGUGUAGUGGUGAAAUGCGUAGAUAUCGGGAGGAACAUCAGUGGCGAAAGCGGCUUUCUGGGACAGUUCUGACGCUGAGGGACGAAAGCGUGGGGAGCAAACCGGAUUAGAUACCCGGGUAGUCCACGCCCUAAACGAUGGAUGCUAGGUUUGUGGGGUAUCGACCCCCUGCGAGCCAAAGCUAACGCGAUAAGCAUCCCGCCUGGGGACUACGGCCGCAAGGCUAAAACUCAAAGGAAUUGACGGGGGCCCGCACAAGCAGCGGAGCGUGUGGUUUAAUUCGAUGGUAAGCGAAGAACCUUACCUGGGCUUGACAUGCAAGUGGUACUGAACCGAAAGGCAAGGGACCCGCAAGGGAGCUUGCACAGGUGCUGCAUGGCUGUCGUCAGCUCGUGCCGUGAGGUGUUGGGUUAAGUCCCGCAACGAGCGCAACCCCUGCGGUUAGUUGAAUUCUCUAGCCGGACUGCCCUUAAACGGGAGGAAGGUGGGGACGACGUCAAGUCAUCAUGGCUCUUACGUCCAGGGCUACACACACGCUACAAUGGCCGGUACAGACGGUUGCGAAGCCGUGAGGUGGAGCCAAUCCUACAAAGCCGGUCCAAGUUGGGAUUGCAGGCUGCAACUCGCCUGCAUGAACGCGGAGUUGCUAGUAAACGCAGGUCAGCAUACUGCGUUGAAUACGUUCCCGGGCCUUGUACACACCGCCCGUCACGUCAUGGGAGUUGGCAACGCCUGAAGUCGCUGGGCUAACCCUUCGGGGAGGCAGGCGCCGAGGUGGG
rnacentral:rRNA from 1 species